rnacentral:rRNA from 1 species
UACGGGGGGGGCAAGCGUUGUUCGGAAUUACUGGGCGUAAAGGGCUCGUAGGCGGCCAACUAAGUCGGACGUGAAAUCCCUCGGCUUAACCGGGGAACUGCGUCCGAUACUGGAUGGCUUGAGUUCGGGAGAGGGAUGCGGAAUUCCAGGUGUAGCGGUGAAAUGCGUAGAUAUCUGGAGGAACACCGGUGGCGAAGGCGACGUCCUGGACCGGCAUUGACGCUGAGGCGCGAAAGCCAGGGGAGCAAACGGG